rnacentral:lncRNA from 1 species
GCGAGGGGGCGGAAAACGGCUGCGACUGGGGAAUGAGGCGAGAUGUGGCGCGGCUCGACUCGACUCGGCGCGGCGGACGCGCUGCGGAGGCGCGUGGGAUGGGGCACGCGAUGGCGCACUCGGUGAGACCGACAGGGGGCGAGACGAAGGGUGGGAUCGGGGGAGAGAAGCGGAAGGUAGGUUAUAGCGAGGCGGCAGCGUGAGCGAGCGGAUGGGGUGGUGAGGUCCGGGGGCGACGGGACGGAAGCCAGCAGCCUCCGCUUGCGAGCGACGACGUUUCCGACCGUUUCACGCUACGGGUGGCCGCGAAGUGACGGAUACCCUCCUGUGCAGGGACGGACGCAUCGACGUGCACACGUGAUUAAUAAAGUUCAAUGUUAAUUAACGUAAUUAGUAUGUUUCCACGUGGACGGCGUGCAAUUAUUGCGGAUUAAUAAGCACGCCCCCUGUAUCGAAGCGAGAAAUCGCACCAAAACGAGACACGAUAUCUACCGGGUACAUCGAAUUUUCCCACGAUUUUCCUUUUACCUUUCUAGAAAAUCUUAAAAAAAAAAUUGUAAAAUUAUUUCAGAUUGGAAAACUACAUUUAGUGUACAAAAUAAAUCGAAUAAUAAACCAAUAAUUUUUAACGCAAUGGACACGUAAAUCGGAUAAAAUUACAAUGAUAACAAUAAACAGAAAUAACUAACAACGAUUGAUGAUAAAUGGAUUUGAAAUUCCAAGUGUUUAGAAGAGAAUUUAUAAUUUACUAUAAUAUACUGAAUUGUGUAAUAAAUAACUUUGGAUAAAAUUGAAUCGAUACACAAUUAACGCUGCUCUAGUUGCAACGAUUUUAUUCACUAUCUGUCGAAUCGUUGCGUACACGGUUAAUCCGUUGAUUUGAAAAAUUUGUUGAAAAAUCCGAAAUUAUAUAUUGCGCAAUCUAAUACAUUGCAUUAUAAUAUAUCCUGUGUAACAUAUCCCUCUAUUUCUCAAUAGAACUCGUCAACACCCUCGCACCCCUAAUUAGGACCUCCACUCUAGGCACUCCGCCCUUGUCCCUAAUACGUCGUCGCACGUGUGGCAAGGGAUCAUUGUCCGAAGGGGAUGCAACUUGAAGGGUGGUCCACGGCGUACUCGCACCGAGAGAUCCAACGGAUCGUCGGGGUGCAGCAGCAGGCCGGACAUCGAGCGGUCUAAUCCCCGCUGCCCCGACAAACACUUCGCCGGCGAAGCUCGACGCACGAGGUUCGCUAAGAGGACACACAGGGAGGAAUGAAGGACCGGAGAGUCCGUAGGAUUGCUGACGGGGGAAGGAAGGGGAUUGGGUCGAGCUUCGGGGCAAUCUGCAGAUACCUCGGCUGUGCCUGAUUGCGUCGCUACCUCUCUAAUUACACGGCAACCUGCGACGAUACUCGACCCGACUGCCUGAAACGAGGCGGUUCGUGGACCUUCGCCUUCGUGGCUGUUGUUGGGAGGUUGGUGAAGAAAGGGACGAGCGGUGGGGCGGCGACAGAGCGGCAGUGUCGGAUGAUAGCACGAGCCACCACCGUUGCCAGCACACUGAGGGUGAGUCGCAUUUUGCUUCGCAAACGUCGACGGAGUGGCGAUACCCCGCGUCGAUUUCUUCUUGUUAUCGGAGACGUUCCUGCGAUAUCAUCAUUACUUGCAAAAUUCGCGAAAGUGUGUGCACGAUAAGCUUUAAAAUGAGUAAUGAUGUGUUAAGACAUACGAGUGAGGCGCGGUUUUCCUUCGUAAAGGAUGUUUCAUAAACGCGAUCUUUGGUGGACAAUUUUUUUCGACGAUGAUUUGAUGGCAUAACAUAUUUUCUAAAAAAUUUGUAAUUUUUUAAUGAAACAGUAGAGAAAUAUUAGAGAAACGUUUUUCAAGAGAAGCGUCGUCAAAUUACGCAUUACAACAUUACUUUAAGAAUGCGCGAAGAGAUGCUGCUGAAUUCGGACACACCGAGUAGAUUUCGGAGCCGGCGUCGCCGGUUUUAAUACGGUUAUAAUCGACGAGGGGGUUGGCGUAUCUCGGGGGCAAAUAGAGCCUCGCUUCCUCCGCAGCCCUUCGUUCGUCCGCACCCACCUUCCUCUCACCAACUCUCAGAGAGGAAGACGACCGCCUCGUGGAGUCAGGAAAUUGCGACUACGCGAUCUCCCACCCUCACUUCCACGCCAACGUCACCCCUUUCUGGUUUCGAUCUCGGCUUUCUCCGUCGCCUUCAGAUUUCUGAAGAAUUUUUUAAUACAAAAUAAAAAAGUUGAAAAAUAUCCAAAACUUGUUUCACGUCCACGGACGUAUUUAUGUAACGAAAGGGAAUUUAUUACUUGAAGAGCGCUUCCAUUCAUACCAGUUUCAAGCUAAAUAUAGUUCUAAGGUGCUUGCGCAAAAAAUUGUCGCGACAGCCACCUUCACGCAGCUUAGUAAGCUCCAGGAUAAUUAACCGGUCGAAAGGCGUGUGAUUGAUAACGAGGCGCGAAGAGGCGCGAAUUAAUUAACGAACGUGGCCGGAAUGAAAAAGAGGGCGAAGGAAGAAAGAGCACGUCGGCGUCGCGUAGCGAAUCGGCGCGGCGAUGCGCGUUCCGCGGGGCACGCAAUGGAAUUUACAUAAUAAACAUAAUAAUAAUAACGCGACGAUAAUGGGUUAAUACGCGGGCAAACGCACGGCCCGGUUAUCCCCCGCAUAUAAUUAACUUCAUCGGCGGCGGUAUCCUAAUUACCACGCCUCGAAUAAUAUUUGUUGAUAAUGAACAUUAUUAUUGCGUAUCGCCGAUCCGGUCUCCGACGUCGGUUGUGCCCGUUGCACAGUUGCCGUGUAAAUAAUUCAGUUAAUAUUUCUUCGCCUGCUAAUAUUUUUUCCGUCGGCAGCGCACGCGGAUGAUUUGUUUGCUCGUUUGUGCUGUACGACCAAUUAAUAGAAGCUUUCCGAUUACCGAUUUAAUUUGUGAUGAAUCUGUUAACGUGCGGAAAAUCGCGCUUCUACAUCUCAUCGAGCGUUUCCCACAAGCGUGAUUUACCGAACACAUCAGAAACUUUGAAUCCACAAAAGAGACGACCAUGGUGAUGGCGGAGUACUUGCGUGAGUCCUCAAGACCCUAACUGUUUCUAGCGUAUUAUUGGGCAGAACAAAUAAAACAAUCGAUAGC